UCCCUGGUGGCUCAGAGGUUAAAGCGUCUGCCUGCAAUGUGGGAUGCCUGGGUUCGAUCCCUGGGUUGGGAA
rnacentral:tRNA from 1 species